CCCCAGCCUUUACUCUCCCUCUUACCCAUUGGUUCCGCUCUGGAGAAGGCUGAAGCCUCCCGAUUUCCCUCUCCUGGCCGAAGCUGCGAGCAAGACUUCACUUGGCUAGGGAUAUGUUCGAGUAGGAGCUCCGAUCCUCUCUGGCUCGUACGCCCCAGCCAGGCCGAUCCCUCCUCCUCCGCUCCCUUGCUCUUGUUCAACUUCAGCCCUUAGGCCACACGCCUACUCCCGAGCCAUGGCAAAUCAAUCUAGGUAUCAGAAAGCCAAGCUGAGGACCUUCCAGCACCUAAAUCCCGCCCUAAUCUCAACUGAUGAAGAAACUCCUUCCGGCUCCAAUCGCAACCAACGCCUCCUUCGACGACGUUCCUUCCGGUCGGGUCGGCAGCUCGCCGUUUCUUGUUGGAUCGGAAGUAAAGAUGACGACGAGUUGAGGGGUCGUGUUGGAUUGACCCAGGUCUGAAGCAGGGUCAAUUUCAGGAUGCUUGGCAUAAGAUGGUAGAGAGGUUUAAAGCAUACUCCCUAAACACAACGGUGCUUAGUUCUCUCAAGUUCUUGGAAGCAAACUCAAAGCUCGCUGUCUUCCUCUGCUUCCUCCACAGCUCUCCAUCUGCGUUAAAUAUCCCAUCUCCUAGCAGAACCUCCAUGAUCUGCAGUGUAAGUGUAAGUAGUGAAGGGCAUGGGAACACUAAUGGUCUUUGACUCAGAUAAGUAAUUGGCAAUCCAAUCAUGCAUGCGAUCAUAGUUCUUAAACUGUUCAAUGGCAGCUCCAAUGAGAGGCCAUG